GAUCUUUGCAUCUACGUAUAGCAUUUAGAUGCACCCGAUGAAAAGAAUUGUAUGUAAAACUCAAAUAAUUAGGAAAAGAUUCAGAUGAGUGCUCUCUUAGGACAAGAGUUGGAGCUGGCAAAGCAAAAGAUGAAGCUGUAGCAAAUCUCAGAGUUGCAGUAAUAACAAGACGUAUAAAUGGUUAUUUGGGGAGGCCAGUUUGAGGAUGGAGAAGGGCCUGAGUUUGCUCUUGGUCACAUACUCUAUCUUUUAAGUAGAGUUUAAAAAGUUCAUUUCAGAUUCAUUCCACAGGACCUCUUCCAGGUUAGAAAUAACUCACUUCACCUUUUUGAUUCUGACUUCCAAUUUUGGUUUCAUCUUGUUAGCCAAAACGACCUACUUUUGGAUUAUCACCAACAUACUCUCAUACUUGUUUUUGCUCAUUUCAGUUUCUCUACUUUUUCUACAGGUCAAAGAUUGCUCACUUGCUCAUUUCAGUUUCAACAAAAAAAAAAAAAAACGGAUUGCUC
rnacentral:lncRNA from 1 species